rnacentral:lncRNA from 1 species
CGCUUGUAAACAAAUAAACCCCGAGUGGCGGCCAGAGAACUGGGAGCUGUGGCGGGGCAUGGAGGAAACCGGAGGGUGCGCGUGUGAAAGCCCCGCCCACAGCCCUGGCUCCUCCUUCCCCCUUCAGCUACUCGAGGCCCUGCGCCAGGGCAUCCUCUGCAAGUGUGCGCUGCCCGGGCUUGCUAGCGAGGAGUCUAAGUGCUGUGCACAUAAAAGCCGCCCCGCUCAGGCUGUCUACACGCGCGCCGGCUGCUCGGCUCGGGCUGCAGCUCCGGGGCGCUAGCCGCCUUGAGUACUCAGUGUUUACAUCCCGUCCCCGCUCCAGGUCUACGCGGCUUGCUCCACAAGCCGGAGGAGCGUGCGGAGCAGCGGGAUGCGGGUGCCUGUGCUGAAGACGUGCAGCCAACGCCACGGAGCUGUUUCUGCUCCAUCCUCGGGGAGAAAUGGGAGGAUGUCUUUGUGAAAGUUUAAUUGCAAAAUAAAUGAAAGAAUAUUAAAUGGGGAAGCCAGACCUGCUGCUCACUCGUUAAGAAGAAAGCAAGCUCAGAAUGUGGAGGACUAUGGAGCUGACUGAUUGAAGGUGGCGCAAGAGAAAGUUGCCCUUUUUGAAGACAGAGACAAAUACUGUGACUCUGUCCGAGAGGAGUUGAGUAAAGAACUCUGCAGAGAUUUGGGCUCACCAUUCAGAGCAGAACUUGAGGAACUGAGGCAGCUCAAGAUUUCACGCCGGGGACUUCAGCUGGGAGCAGUUAAUUGGCCAUGCGUAAUGAGUCAGAUUUGUCAACUCUUAAGAUAGUAUGCUAUGGUGUCUUUUAAGGGAAUGAGGUAGAGCUGUGUACCACUGGUUUGGAGUUCCUUCCCAGCAUUUUAAGCAAAGAAAGCGAACGGAAGAAGAAUAAAAUAAAAACAGAUCA